GGAAGAUAUGCACAACGGUGUGCAGCCGGUCUUGAAAACCGGUAGCAGAGUGAAAUCUGUGGGGUUCGAUUCCUCUAUCUUCCG
rnacentral:sRNA from 1 species